UCCAAAAGAUUAUCACAACUGUGUACAAACUGAUACGGUCCUCAGCCAAGGGACUGGAAAUGAACAUCGCGGGGUUAUCAGUGCCGAUCUGUCAGCAGCGAGUCGCGCGGCCGCAGGCUCGUCCGCGGCUGGAGCCGUGAUAUAUGUCUCGCUCCCUUUCGCUCACAAAACGGAUUUCUUCCGACAGGCGUGACCCCAGAAGGCUGCGGAGAGAGCCUUUAACUAAGCAGAAGGAGAUGUCUUGUGGGAUUGGAUUUUUACACACACACCCCCGAGCUCCCCCACAGCAUUAGGAGGACGCACUGACCUCGGCGCCCGCCGAUGCGACAGAGCUUGUUAUCUAGGCCACCCAAUGACCGACGAAAGAUCUUCCCUCCCUGCUUCUCCCGUGGCCGCUUUAAACCAAAUAAAUUUAGCUAUUAAGGGCCAAGAUGUCUGACAAAAGAUCGAAAGGUGUCUUUCUGUGAUCGCUUAAAGAAGCCAAGGAGAAGCUUGCAGCUCUCAAAGCCCGAUAAAGAAAUUCCACACCGGCGCCGGCCUCCCUCCCCGCGGCCUGCUUGAGUCCAGAGACCCUGCGAUCCCGACUUCGGCGACCGCAGAGCUCGGCUAUGUUGCAAAUAUGCAGAGAAUUAGGACGGAAGACUUGUCUACCAUUAUAAAGUCCCCCAGCUUCCUGCCACUUGCCUGACAUUCACUGAGUAUGCACUGCAUGAAGAAAAAAAAUAAGAGCAUUCAGUGACAGCCACAGAAAACAAAGGAAGACUGCAGCUAAUAGUAAUUCUCACCAACAGCCCUGCUCUGCACGCCUAGCCCAUUGCCAAAUCAAUCCCAAGCCACUGUGGCUUACUUUUGUUUACCUGUAGCACCUUCUCUCCAGUCCCUGGCCAUCUCUUCCCUGGACUACGCAGGCCUCCCAGAAAGCAGAGAGUUGAGUGCAGGACCCUGAUGUUGGAGCAGCAAGUAAAUCUACCUGGCAUUUCAGACUUGACUGAUGAGUCGUCACCUCUACUUUGGAAGUCCUUUCCUCUGUCUCCUGAGGCCUGAGCUACCUUCUGGGCCCUUCUUUUCUUUCGUUUUUUUUUUUUUUCCCCUUAUUUUAUUUUGAGACAGAUUCUCACUGAGUGGAGUUGCUGAAGCUGGCCUCCAAUUUACAAUCCUCCUACCUAAGCCUCCUUAGCUGCUGAGAUUACAGGCGUGCACCACCAUGCCUGACUCUGUUUCUCAAACUAUGGGAUAGAAUUUAGAUGCGAUGGCAGGUACUGAAGCAGUCAUGUACUACGAGGGGACAGCAGCCACAUGUUGCAUCAAAUGACAGCAGAAUAGAGAGUUUCGGUCUCAGAGACCAUGGAGCUUUAGAAGAGGAUCACUUGGUCUCAGAUCAAAAUAAUUGUCAUCAAAACAAGUUGGAAGUCAUUUCUUUCUCAUGUAACAGCCUGAAACUAUAUUAAUAAAUAUGAAUAUAUAUGAGUC